GGUCCUAUAGUGUAGCGGUUAUCACAGUGGAUUCUGAUUCCACUAACGCAGGUUCGAUUCCUGCUAGGACCU
rnacentral:tRNA from 1 species